rnacentral:rRNA from 1 species
GAUGAACGCUGGCGGCGUGCUUAACACAUGCAAGUCGAGCGAUGAAGUUUCCUUCGGGAAAUGGAUUAGCGGCGGACGGGUGAGUAACACGUGGGUAACCUGCCUCAUAGAGGGGAAUAGCCUUUCGAAAGGAAGAUUAAUACCGCAUAUGGUAGCUUUACCGCAUGGUAGUGCUAUUAAAGGAGCAAUCCGCUAUGAGAUGGACCCGCGUCGCAUUAGCUAGUUGGUGAGGUAACGGCGUCACCAAGGCGACGAUGCGUAGCCGACCUGAGAGGGUCGAUCGGCCACAUUGGGACUGAGACACGGCCCAGAC